GGUAAUUUCUGGCCUCUGAAAGGCCUCCAUCAAACGGAUUUCUAUUUUCUCCGCGCUAAGUUGGUCCCUCUCUUCCAUUUCUAGGUACAGCGCCAACACCGAACCAUCUAAGUACAGCAGUAUAAAACUCGCUAAGUCGUUUAUACCGUGGAGCUUCGCCACCAACUUCAUCUUCUUCAACCAAGCGACUACAUCCGUGUCACCGCAAAAUGGUUUGAUCAUAUCGUUCGAAAUACGGACAACUCUCAUCAUUCGUAUCUUUCUUUUUAUUUAUUUAUUUUUUUGUUAUGGACCGAAAUAGCUUGUAGUGUGAUGGA